CUGGAAAAGAAGAUUUUCCCACAAGAAAAACUGAAACUAUUAUCCAUCUAGGAGUUCAAGGAGAAAAGACAAUAAAAAAGAUAAGAGAGCUCAAAACCUGAGUGAUCGGACGGCCACAUGUUUGGAAAGGACAUGAAAAAUGAAAUUAGCACCGUGGAGAAACAAUACAAUCCCAGUACAUCCAAGAAGAAAUAACUCAACCAUCGUCUCUCGAUCGUUUUUACCACCACAAAGAGCUCUUUCUCUCUCUGCAAACGAAUCAACGAAGUCUCUCUGUUUGCGCACCAGCCGACGCAGAGAUGAAACGAAGUCUCUGUUUGCAGCAAGGAAGACCAAGUCCUUUUAUACAAAGGUGGAUCCUACCAGAGGCCGACUAAACAAGAGGGGUUUUAAGGCGUGGAUGAUAAUAUGAUUGAAUGUUUCUACUUUGACUUAAAUUUGAUUGGCCGUUGGAUUCGUGCGGCAAGGAUAUUAUGAUGAUUAGUCGGGUGGUUUAGGGGUUGGGAGUGGGGGGUAUGGAGAUUGAUAUACUGGACUGCAGCUGAGGUGGAUCUCACAGCGGCAGGUCAGAGGGUCACCGCCCGUGUUUUUCACCAAUUUUUUGUUCUCGGCUGAUCAGCAGUACGGGUACCGAGAUUAAGGUCUUAACAUUUUAAAGGAGCCGACCGUCGCCGCCUAACCAACCACAGUGGUUUCGAGUCUUUUGACACAAAACUACACGAUUUUGGCAUAUUGUUACACGUGGGAACGGUUAUUGCAGCGGGAGAAGUGGAAGUCGGGCACCGGCCCAGUGAGCGAACUUGCACGGAGACAAUGACCUCAAUGAUCAUAGCUUGUUUAUUUUACUGUUUACUAGAACCGACCCAUUUUUGCGGACUGAAUUCUUUAUCUCGAUGGAGCUUGUUGAUUUUCUUCAUGCGCCAAAGAUUAGCACACGCAUUCACUCAUUGACUUGAAAUGAAUUCAUUGGCUGAAGUUUUCCAUAAACUGAUAGAUCAUUUGGGAAUAUAUUUUCAGAAUGGAGUUUAUCACUGGCGGGUAGAGACAGAGAGAGAGAGAGAGGGAGGGAGGGAGGGGGCACUAACAAGAAUGGGAUACAAUCAUCAGGCACUCAUAGUGCUGCUUCGAUAUUCAUAUGAGGCACGGAUUGCCUUGCCAAGACAAUGUAAACUACAAGCAUCCCACCCAAAGAUACCCCUUUAUCAUGACUUUUAAAUAACUCAGCAUUCAAUUAUUCAUAAUGCAACUUACUGCUUCUAUUAAUCACCUAA